rnacentral:rRNA from 1 species
UGGUGGAGCGAUUUGUCUGGUUAAUUCCGAUAACAGCGAGACUCUAGCCUACUAAAUAGUGCAAGGAUCUUUACGUCCUUGUCACUUCUUAGAGGGACAGACGGCAUCUAGCCGUACGAAAUUGAGCAAUAACA